rnacentral:rRNA from 1 species
UACAGAGGGUGCGAGCGUUAAUCGGAAUUACUGGGCGUAAAGCGUGCGCAGGCGGUUAUGUAAGACAGGUGUGAAAUCCCCGGGCUUAACCUGGGAACUGCAUUUGUGACUGCAUAGCUAGAGUACGGUAGAGGGGGAUGGAAUUCCGCGUGUAGCAGUGAAAUGCGUAGAUAUUGUGAGGAACACUAGUGGCGAAGGCGAGACUCUGGACAGUUCCUGACGCUGAGGCACGAAGGCCAGGGGAGCAAACGGG